UUGGUCCGAUUCUGUUGGAAUUUGGUAUUCAGGCUUAAUUUAGAAUACAAUUAAUAUAUUUUGACAGAUAUUUGAAAUAUAAGACAGUAUAUCGACACACAACGCGACUAUAUAACAAAUUAUGGUUCUUUGAAGCAUGAUACCCCAACCACUGGUCAUCUCUUUCCUUGGCAUAUAAACGUUGGUACACCUGAUAAUUUUUGUUUUGUUUUAAGAAAUCCUCUAAGGCCCAUCACUGACAGGACUUAGAGGUUCCAAACUGGUCCCCACGGACCAAAAGUAUAGGAGCGAAGCGACUAUACUUGUUAUAUAGGAGCGUCUGCGACUAUAUUAUGCACGCGGGCCCGGGUCCGAAAAAUCGUGUUUUUUUGGAAAUAAAAAUUCAUAUCUUUGGCUGUAUGGCUAGCGAAACGAUGAAAUUUGGCAUAGGGUCUCUCAAUACAUUGGGAAUGAUGGAUCCGUAAACGAAUUUUUUUUCCGGUACCACCAAACGGAGCGGUACUGUCUCAAAUUCAAAAAUUCGUAAAAAAAUUGGUAAAAAUCGAGUUGCUCACGAGAUCUCAAUUUUAAAGCGUUCAAUCGAGUUGAAAUUUUCAGGAUAUAUGGGUUCUUGGGGCUUACGUGUCUGUAUACUUUUUGAGCCCGAUCGGUAUACAGGGUGAGUUGUUAUAAGCGAACAAAAGUGACUAAAAAAAAAAUUCAAACUUCUCCAGAGGCUAAAAAAAAAUUUUUAUAAAAAAAGUGUUUCGGCGAAAAGACUUCAUUUUAUAAGAGAUUUAACAUACUUGGAGCUUUUUUUUGUAAAAAAUUUAUUUUACGAGUUCUGGCAUUUUCAGUUUUUUGGGAUUUUCCGCCAAACGAUACUUAUUUUGGGAAAAUUUUUUUUUUCAAAAAAUAACUUCAUCUUUUACCUUUUAUAUGCCAUAUAACCGAAAUUUUUGGGAACCAUACAGGGCGAGCAAUAAUGAACUUUACCCAUGAAGGUCCGACCCGAAAAUCACAUUUUAUUUAAUAACUUUUUCGUAGUAGCAUCUGGACCAUUUAUAUUCUCAGGCAUUAAAUACUUUAAUAACCCCAAUAUUUAUGUAAAAUUACAAUCUUCCAACAUUAAUAGGUUCUGAGCAAUUCGAAUUUUCGCGUUUAAUUCAUUUGCCACGUCCCUGUACAUGGUGAAAAGAUCAGACAUCAUCUAAAAGAUCCGAAAUUUUGUUUUACAACACAUACUAAAAUUUCAGGGUUCCAGCGAUAGUACAAGUACCCGAAAAAUGCGAUUUUAUGAAAAAAGUCCAUUUUUUUGCGUUUUUGCAGGUAAUUGGAGGUGUCAACCUAAACUCUGAUGAAAUGGCUGGUGGGAACAAUACUUUGACGCAUGGUGGAUACAAAUUUUUUGCUCGUGACAGGUGGCCGGGACUUGGUUGGGUUUUUUGUAAAAUUAUGAAUGAAAAUGAACCGGAAACGAUCAGGGAAAGGAAGCACCGAAUCAGAAAAUGAAUGGGCUUUCCGAAUCUGUGCAUAUCAAUAGGGGAAAUUGUGUAUUGCGGCCAGGAAAAUUCGGCAAACAUUUUGACGUCUUCGAAAAAUGCCGUUUUUUUGAAAUGUCAGUGUCUUUAUACCGGGGUGAGACGAAAUGAAAUUUGCCCGAUUAUUUUAUUAAAAUUAUUCGAAUAUAUACACGGGUCAGUCGUAAUGAUCUAUUUAAUUUAAAAUAAGAAUUUAGAUAUUUUGUGAGUUUUUACUAUUUAGUUUAUUAUUAAUAAAUGUUAACAAUUCUUAAACAUUGCUUUUGGGAUAUAAAUAAAAAAUUUUUUGAAAUUAUUGAUUUUUAAGGUUAGUCGAGUAUCAUAACUUUUUUGGUAUUGGUGCGAUUUGGUUGAAAUUUGGUACCUAGUACCUAUUUCGGAUAAGAUUAAUAAAUUUUUACAGAUAUUUGACAUGACUAUGUUUUAAGGUCACGUGACUACCUUAACUUUCUUCCUAUUUGUCCGAUUUGAUUGAAAUUUGGUAUUUGGGGUUUAUUUAGGAUGCAAUUAUUAAUUUUUGACAGAUAUUUGACAUUUGACUUCCGGGUCACG
rnacentral:lncRNA from 1 species